rnacentral:rRNA from 1 species
UACGAAGGGGGCUAGCGUUGCUCGGAAUCACUGGGCGUAAAGCGCACGUAGGCGGAUUGCUAAGUCAGGGGUGAAAUCCUGGAGCUCAACUCCAGAACUGCCUUUGAUACUGGCGAUCUUCGAGUCCGGGAGAGGUGAGUGGAACUGCCGAGUGUAGAGGUGAAAUUCGUAGAUAUUCGUCAAGAACACCAGUGGCGAAGGCGGCUCACUGGCCCGGUACUGACGCUGAGGUGCGAAAGCGUGGGGAGCAAACAGG